rnacentral:rRNA from 1 species
AGCAGCCGCGGUAAUUCCAGCUCCAAUAGCGUAUAUUAAAGUUGUUGCAGUUAAAAAGCUCGUAGUUGAAUUUCGGGAUCAAUAUGUUGGUCGUGCCUCGGUACGUACUGGCAUCGUUGAUUUCUACCUUCUGAUGAACCAUGAUGCCAUUAAUUUGGUGUUAUGGGGAAUCAGGACUGUUACUUUGAAAAAUUAGAGUGUUUAAAGCAGGCUCACGCUUGAAUACAUUAGCAUGGAAUAAUGAAAUAGGACGUUUGAUUCUAUUUUGUUGGUUUCUAGGAUCGACGUAAUGAUUAAUAGGGAUAGUUGGGGGCAUUAGUAUUCAAUUGUCAGAGGUGAAAUUCUUGGAUUUAUUGAAGACUAACUACUGCGAAAGCAUUUGCCAAGGAUGCUUUCAUUAAUCAAGAACGAAAGUUAGGGGAUCGAAGACGAUCAGAUACCGUCGUAGUCUUAACCAUAAACUAUGCCGACUAGGGAUCGGAUGAUGUUAAUUUUAUAA